rnacentral:rRNA from 1 species
UACAGAGGUCCCAAGCGUUGUUCGGAUUCAUUGGGCGUAAAGGGUGCGUAGGCGGCGCGGUAAGUCGGGUGUGAAAUCUCGGAGCUUAACUCCGAAACUGCAUUCGAUACUGCCGUGCUUGAGGACUGGAGAGGAGACUGGAAUUUACGGUGUAGCGGUGAAAUGCGUAGAUAUCGUAAGGAAGACCAGUGGCGAAGGCGGGAUCCUGGGCCAGUACUGACGCUGAGGAGCGAAAGCGUGGGGAGCGAACAGG